GACUCGGUGGCGGAUGGUCCGCGUCUGCGCCUGCUGAGCGCCCCUGACAUAUUUCAGCGGAAGGCGUCUGUUCGAAUGAGGCUCGAGUCA